AUAUAUAAAGGUGAGGCCAAGGAAUACUAAAAACAACUGGAAGUGCGUCUUAAAGUCGCACUCACUUUUUUUCUACACGAGGAGGCUGACACAUUCUUCCUUUGUUUAACAAAUUAUAAUAAAGGAAAACGUGGUUCACCAAAGUUAAUUAAUUUUUUUGUUAUUACUUAAUUAAUAAUGGUGCACAAGUGAUCUGCUCCUGGAUGCAAGCAGGGCUAUGACGGCAUUACUAAGGAUCCAUAUGUGAACUUUCACAAAUUCCCCAUGAAGGACUCCAAAAUUCUAACCAAAUGGCUUAGGGUCAUCCCAAGAGAUACGAUUUACAGACACCAACAGCGAAUUCAAGACUAUGCAGUCUGCAUUGUAAAGUGACUGAUUUUAUUACUGAAUCUUUUGGUCAAUCCCAUGAUAAGCCAAUUUAAGAUAUCUGCCUCUAAAAUAACAAAAUUAUUCUGGCAAGUGAAAAAAAGUGAAUUCUUCUCGUCUUAUCAAUCUAAAUAAAUUAGCCGAAGAAAUCUAAAAUCUUAUCCCUGAAAGUAGAUCAAUAUGAUAUGCAAAUUGAGAACAUUAUGGGGAAAUCUUCCUUCUAUUUAACUUUUUCAAGAGGAUCUUCAACACCAGCAAGGAAUAGUAUUUAUAUUGUCGGAUAUAUAUCAAAAUCAUUAUCCAAAAACUUGCUAUGUCUGUACAUCUUUAAAAUAUAUAACUAUGAUAUGACCUUAAAUCAGGAAAUAAUAAAAAAACUUGCAAAUUUGGUCACUGCUUUCUACCUAUAUUCCUAAAUUAUCGACAAACUUUUCAACGUUGUGGUGAAGAAUUCUGCGCUGAUUACUGAAGAUAAAAUAUUUGCCAUCAUCAAUACAACAACAUUGCCAAACUGUAUUCCAACUAACAUAUGAUUGUACUUCCAAUAUUAUAUUCAUAUUAUUCCAUACGAAAUAAAAACGAUUUUUAUACUUAUGUAAAAAAA
rnacentral:lncRNA from 1 species